AACCUUGUGCAGUGGCAAUAUCGCAAGCUAUGAAGUCCCAACUGAGCUGCGUUUAUUGCUAGUUGAAAACUAAAACCAAUAGCUCGCCCAGGAGGAGGAUCCACGAUCCUCCUCACUGAGGCAAUUUUUUAAGGCCCCUAAGGGG
rfam:Drosophila ficusphila unplaced genomic scaffold scf7180000453932, whole genome shotgun sequence